rnacentral:rRNA from 3 species
GAUUUCUGGUUCGGCGCACUUGGCCCGUCUCGGUUUACGGGAUUGCGUGCCGGUGUGCGCCAUCCAUCCUUCGGGAAAUACACAGCUACCCUUCACUGGGCCGGUUGUGCUAUCCCGAUCUUUUACUUUGAAAAAAUUAGAGUGUUUAAAGCAGGCUUGCGCUAUGAAUACAUUAGCAUGGAAUAAUAAUUUAGGACUUUGGUCUUAUUUUGUUGGUUUCUAGGACUAAAGUAAUGAUUGAUAGGGACAGUUGGGGGUGCUAGUAUUCAGCGGCCAGAGGUGAAAUUCUUGGAUUCGCUGAAGACUAACUUAUGCGAAAGCAUU